GAUGAACGCUAGCGGCAAGCUUAAUACAUGCAAGUCGAGGGGCAGCAUGACUGUAGCAAUAUAGUUGAUGGCGACCGGCAAACGGGUGCGGAACACGUACAGAACCUUCCUUCGAGCGGGGAAUAGCCCAGAGAAAUUUGGAUUAAUACCCCAUAGUAUAUCAGAGUGGCAUCACUUUGAUAUUAAAGAUUUAUCACUCGAAGAUGGCUGUGCGGCUGAUUAGAUAGUUGGUGAGGUAACGGCUCACCAAGUCUGCGAUCAGUAACUGGUGUGAGAGCACGACCAGUCACACGGGCACUGAGACACGGGCCCGACUCCUACGGGAGGCAGCAGUAAGGAAUAUUGGUCAAUGGACGAAAGUCUGAACCAGCUAUGCCGCGUGGAGGAUGAAGGCCCUCUGGGUUGUAAACUUCUUUUAUAUGGGACGAAAAAGGGCCUUUCUAGGUCAACUGACGGUACCAUGUGAAUAAGCACCGGCUAACUCCGUGCCAGCCGCCGCCGUAACAC
rnacentral:rRNA from 1 species